rnacentral:rRNA from 1 species
UGCCCUUAACUCUGGGAUAAGCCUGGGAAACUGGGUCUAAUACCGGAUAUGACUCCUCAUCGCAUGGUGGGGGGUGGAAAGCUUUUUGUGGUUUUGGAUGGACUCGCGGCCUAUCAGCUUGUUGGUGAGGUAAUGGCUUACCAAGGCGACGACGGGUAGCCGGCCUGAGAGGGUGACCGGCCACACUGGGACUGAGACACGGCCCAGACUCCUACGGGAGGCAGCAGUGGGGAAUAUUGCACAAUGGGCGCAAGCCUGAUGCAGCGACGCCGCGUGAGGGAUGACGGCCUUAAAGUUGUAAACCUCUUUCAGUAGGGAAGAAGCGAAAGUGACGGUACCUGCAGAAGAAGCGCCGGCUAACUACGUGCCAGCAGCCGCGGUAAUACGUAGGGCGCAAGCGUUAUCCGGAAUUAUUGGGCGUAAAGAGCUCGUAGGCGGUUUGUCGCGUCUGCCGUGAAAGUCCGGGGCUCAACUCCGGAUCUGCGGUGGGUACGGGCAGACUAGAGUGAUGUAGGGGAGACUGGAAUUCCUGGUGUAGCGGUGAAAUGCGCAGAUAUCAGGAGGAACACCGAUGGCGAAGGCAGGUCUCUGGGCAUUAACUGACGCUGAGGAGCGAAAGCAUGGGGAGCGAACAGGAUUAGAUACCCUGGUAGUCCAUGCCGUAAACGUUGGGCACUAGGUGUGGGGGACAUUCCACGUUUUCCGCGCCGUAGCUAACGCAUUAAGUGCCCCGCCUGGGGAGUACGGCCGCAAGGCUAAAACUCAAAGGAAUUGACGGGGGCCCGCACAAGCGGCGGAGCAUGCGGAUUAAUUCGAUGCAACGCGAAGAACCUUACCAAGGCUUGACAUGGACCGGACCGGGCUGGAAACAGUCCUUCUCCUUUGGGGCUGGUUCACAGGUGGUGCAUGGUUGUCGUCAGCUCGUGUCGUGAGAUGUUGGGUUAAGUCCCGCAACGAGCGCAACCCUCGUUCUAUGUUGCCAGCACGUGAUGGUGGGGACUCAUAGGAGACUGCCGGGGUCAACUCGGAGGAAGGUGGGGACGACGUCAAAUCAUCAUGCCCCUUAUGUCUUGGGCUUCACGCAUGCUACAAUGGCCGGUACAAAGGGUUGCGAUACUGUGAGGUGGAGCUAAUCCCAAAAAGCCGGUCUCAGUUCGGAUUGGGGUCUGCAACUCGACCCCAUGAAGUCGGAGUCGCUAGUAAUCGCAGAUCAGCAACGCUGCGGUGAAUACGUUCCCGGGCCUUGUACACACCGCCCGUCAAGUCACGAAAGUUGGUAACACCCGAAGCCGGUGGCCUA